CUGCUUCAGCAGCACAUAUACUGAAAUUGGAAUGAUACAGAGAUCAUUAGCAAGGCCCCGUGCAAGAAUAACACACAAAUUUGUGAGGCAUUUCAUAUUUAA